rnacentral:rRNA from 1 species
UACGUAGGGUGCGAGCGUUGUCCGGAAUUAUUGGGCGUAAAGGGCUCGUAGGCGGUCUGUUGCGUCGGGAGUGAAAACUCAGGGCUUAACCCUGAGCCUGCUUCCGAUACGGGCAGACUAGAGGUAUGCAGGGGAGAACGGAAUUCCUGGUGUAGCGGUGAAAUGCGCAGAUAUCAGGAGGAACACCGGUGGCGAAGGCGGUUCUCUGGGCAUUACCUGACGCUGAGGAGCGAAAGCUAGGGGAGCAAACAGG